GCCAUCUGUGGGGGUGCACAUGGCAUGAUGGGACUAUGAUUCCUCGUCUGGUCUUUAAGCAAUGCCGUCAUGGAGUAGUGUCUGCGUUAGUGAUCCCAGUGCACAUAAACGGUUGCAAACUUCUGCACAGCAGAAUAUUGCAAGGCAAAGGUCAAAGGAGACAGGAAAAGUUAGGGUGUCUGUGUCCUUGCAGAAGGCUGGUUUUUUCUAGAGGAGGUUCUGUGUGUGUAUGGGUUGCAGUCGUGUAAUUGGGACACGUUGUAUUGUCUGGACUGCAGUAAGUGCCAGGUAGUUGCCGUACAAACACAGGUAUGGCCUUGCUGAUGCAGUCCUUGAUUUCUCUCUCUCAUCUACAGGAGUAGUUCUUUUACAUCAAGGCUAAAGGCGGCGUGAGAGAGGGAUUGGAAUUUGCAUGCAGUGCAGUCUCAGCUGAAGAGCUCGGGUUUGAGCUCCCAGCUCUGAAGUUAACCUUGGAAAGCACAAAAACGAAAACAAGAUAAAAACCAAGUGGGGUGGGUGUUACUGUGCAGCCAUUGGGUUCAGAGCAGACCAUACCUACAUCAUUACACACAUCAGGUGACAACAGAGUGGCUUCUCCAAGCACAGCUGCUUUUUGCUAGUGAAAGAGUUACUGAAAGAAAAUAAUUUUGUAUGGUCUUGUUCUUUGUGGCCUUGUGGAGAUGAAGUGGAGUUAUGUAACAGGGGUGAGGACUGGCACCACUAUCUAUGUCCGCAGAUAGCUGUGACCAGCGUGGGACUGAGGUGCUGGUGGGGCACAGGAGCUGUGAGAGGUUCAUUUCUCCAAAUCCUCCCCAUUCCUGCCUCUACCACUGCAGGUUGUACCUGCUGGCUUCCCCUUCCAGAAAGGAUGAGCUCCAGUUGUUCCAGUUCCUCCUGAGUCUCUGAAAAGGCUGAGCCACAACUUCUGCAGCUGCUGCAGCCAUCAGGUUUCUUGCAUCAGAAGAAGAGCACAGAUGACAUGAGAGCACAGCUUCUGUUUGCUGGAGAGUUUUAUUUUUGUCUACAUUUUAUGCAAAGAGCUGUGGCCUCAGCCAGCCCGCUCCUCAACACUGACUCUGGUUUUCAACAGGAUGAAUCCCUCUUCCCAUGGCCUGUGGGGUGAAUUAAAAGCCCUGCCAUCUCCUUGGGGUUUGGUUGAAUUCUGCUGGUGCGGAACCAGGAUCGGGCAGGGUGUUUUAAGAAAGAGCAAUAAAGUGUCAAGGUCAAUAAAGUGUCAGAGUGCUGACACACGCUGGCCUGUGUGCUCAAACAGCCUCAAGUCACACAUCCUGACAGCUCUCAAACCAGGCAGUCCAAAUUUUCUGCCUAAAUUGCUGCUUGUGGCUGGAAAACCAGGCCAGGCUGCCUGGGCAUCUCUGUUAUCAUCCCUAUUGUCUGGGUCUUGCAAGCAAUUUUCUGUGUUUUCACUUCUAUUUCAUUUUGCAUCUUGCACAGAAAGAUCUCUGUAUGUUCCAUUUAAGCUGGAAUUUACCAUUCAUUUCCCUGCUGAAGUUAAUGGAACUGUUUGCCUGGAAAAGCUGUAGCCUGCAGAAGCUCUUGCUCUGUAGCACAUCACAGAUUUCCAUGUGCUUUGGUUGAAAAAUUGUUACAAAAAACCAUGCAAAUAAUUGAAGAUAGUGGGGGCUGCAUCCAGGUUGUGAUGAGUUUAAGACUGAAAUGCUCAUCUCCACUUGUGGCUCCUGUUUGCAAUUUGUAUUUUUUUUUAUUUGUAAUAUGAAAGCAACAUUUUUUCUGCCAGAGGUGGAUGCAACUGGAGUUGAUGGCAUUACUGGAGUAAAGGCAAUACUCUCACCUUUUCUUGUUGAUUCAAGCUGCAAGUCUUUUCCACUCUGAAGGAUUACCAUGAGUUUGGUUUUCCAGCCUUGCUAGGAAACGUUUUGUAUCCUUUCAAAAUAGGAACAUUCGAGUUGCAAUUGGCAUGGACUGAGAAAGCCCUUAUUAAUGAACCAUCCUGUUUUUUCUGCUGUAACUUCCAUGCCCUCGGAGCAAGAGCAGGAGGUGACACUUGUGGACAUCAGGCAGGGUGGGAGAUCAGCUCAGCUCCUCUAAUAAAUCAGCUCUAAUUCAAAAUAUGGCCACAAAUGAGGCGACCAUCAUGCCUGGUUGGGACAAAACUGGGAGUCAGGAGCUUCAACUAGUCUGUUUAUUG